rnacentral:rRNA from 1 species
GACGAACGCUGGCGGCGUGCUUAACACAUGCAAGUCGAACGGAAAGGCCCCUUUGGGGGUACUCGAGUGGCGAACGGGUGAGUAACACGUGAGUAACCUGCCCUUGACUUCGGGAUAACUUCAGGAAACUGGGGCUAAUACCGGAUAGGAAUCCUUGCUGCAUGGUGGGGGUUGGAAAGCUUCGGGGGUUUUGGAUGGACUCGCGGCUUAUCAGCUUGUUGGUGGGGUAGGGGCUUACCAAGGCUUUGACGGGUAGCCGGCCUGAGAGGGCGACCGGCCACAUUGGGACUGAGAUACGGCCCAGACUCCUACGGGAGGCAGCAGUGGGGAAUAUUGCACAAUGGGCGGAAGCCUGAUGCAGCAACGCCGCGUGCGGGAUGACGGCCUUCGGGUUGUAAACCGCUUUCAGCAGGGGCGAAGCUUGUGGUGACGGUACCUGCAGAAGAAGCACCGGCUAACUACGUG